GUCUUAAAUGAAGAUUAACGAACUUUUGACUGCAUUAUAAAAUCGCUUAUGAAGCCAGCUUGAUACAAUAUACUUGAAAAUGUACAUUCGACGUACCUGUCUGUGCCAUUAACGGAGAAAUCAGUUGUAAAACGACAAAACAUACACCAAUAAUACAGCAACGUGGCCCAGACAUCUUUACAGUAAAGCACUUGUAUUUACACAAGUCAAUUAUAAAAUAAACAGGCUACGAGGUUAGGAUAUCAGCUUCGAUCCGCAAAACCAAAUUCGUAGGUAUAUUAGAUCCCCAAAAUGUCACAAUUAGGGCCCUUUAAUCAAACAACAUCUGUUUUAGUCCAUCCGCUCUCAGUUAGCUGUUCUAUUCGGAUUUCUUUAAGUCAUAAUCAGAAACUUAAUUUUCUCCUUCGAUGAGUGGUUGGAUAUGCAAAUAACUUUAUAAGGAUUGCCAACACAAUUACACAAACCUAUGGGAGGCCGUCUAAUUAGAAUUAUUGCAUGAGUACGGAAAAUGGAGUCGAUUUUACAUACAUUUUCACGUUUACAAUUGCUGACACACACGCGAACUCCAUCGACCAUCACCAAUCACACGAACAGCCAAGUCUGUUGACAAGUGGACUUGAAAUUUGAUACGAAAGAGAAAUAACGAAUUCCGUAUACGCGAGAAGAUUCCUUUGAAAAUAUUUGCUAAGUAUCUAUAUUGGCCCCGUGAACAUCUUGUAGGCUGGCAUGUUGUCAAGCU
rnacentral:lncRNA from 1 species